AGGAAGUCCUCUGACUUUCUGGAAUAUAAGAUACAAUCUUAUUUCAAGUCAAAACAAGUUCUACUGAGUGAUCAGUGUUUUCAACCAGUUCUGUCAAAAAGUCUGCCAGAUAGAACACAAGCAUAAACAGAAGGUACAAUUAGAGGAUAUACACAGAGGAAUGAAGGAGUCAUUCUGGGACAGUGUAUAGAUG